GAUGAACGCUGGCGGCGUGCCUAAUACAUGCAAGUCGAGCGAACGGACGAGAAGCUUGCUUCUCUGAUGUUAGCGGCGGACGGGUGAGUAACACGUGGAUAACCUACCUAUAAGACUGGGAUAACUUCGGGAAACCGGAGCUAAUACCGGAUAAUAUUUUGAACCGCAUGGUUCAAAAGUGAAAGACGGUCUUGCUGUCACUUAUAGAUGGAUCCGCGCUGCAUUAGCUAGUUGGUAAGGUAACGGCUUACCAAGGCAACGAUGCAUAGCCGACCUGAGAGGGUGAUCGGCCACACUGGAACUGAGACACGGUCCAGACUCCUACGGGAGGCAGCAGUAAGGAAUCUUCCGCAAAGGGCGAAAGCCUGACGGAGCAACGCCGCGUGAGUGAUGAAGGUCUUCGGAUCGUAAAACUCUGUUAUUAGGGAAGAACAUAUGUGUAAGUAACUGUGCACAUCUUGACGGUACCUAAUCAGAAAGCCACGGCUAACUACGUG
rnacentral:rRNA from 1 species